rnacentral:rRNA from 1 species
GCUUGCUCUGUGGGAUCAGUGGCGAACGGGUGAGUAACACGUGAGCGACCUGCCCCUGACUCUGGGAUAAGCGCUGGAAACGGCGUCUAAUACUGGAUAUGUUACGUGACCGCAUGGUCUGCGUCUGGAAAGAAUUUCGGUUGGGGAUGGGCUCGCGGCCUAUCAGCUUGUUGGUGAGGUAAUGGCUCACCAAGGCGUCUACCGGUAGCCAGCCUGAGAGGGUGACCGCCCACACUGAGACUGAGACACGGCCCAGACUCCUACGGGAGGCAGCAGUGGGGAAUAUUGCACAAUGGGCGCAAGCCUGAUGCAGCAACGCCGCGUGAGGGACGACGGCCUUCGGGUUGUUAACCUCUUUUAGCAGGGAAGAAGCGAAAGUGAUGGUACCUGCUGAAAAAGCGCCGGCUAACUACCUGCCAGCAGCCGCGGUAAUACGUACGGCGCAAGCGUUAUCCGGAAUUAUUGGGCGUAAAGAGCUCGUAGGCGGUUUGUCGCGUCUGCUGUGAAAUCCGGAGGCUCAACCUCCGGCCUGCAGUGGGUACGGGCAGACUAGAGUGCGGUACGGGAGAUUGGAAUUCCUGGUGUAACGGUGGAAUGCGCAGAUAUCAUGAGGAACACCGAUGGCGAAAGCAGAUCUCUGGGCCGUAACUGACGCUGAUGAGCGACAGGUGGGGAGCACACAGGCUUAGAUACCCUGGUAGUCCACCCCGUAAACGUUGGGAACUAAUUGUGGGGUCCUUUCACGGAUUCCGUGACGCAACUCACGCAUUAAGUUCACCGCCUGGGGAGUACGGCCGCAAGGCUAAAACUCAAAGGAAUUGACG